CAAGGCGGGCCUCUGGCGGGGCCAGGAAGAGAUGCUGAUGGCGGGGUCGGCGGGCCGGGCCUUUGGGGAAUCGGAUCCUCCGAGCGAGCGCCGCAGCAGGAAGGAGGCCGGCCUGGCAGCUCCGCUCCGUUCUUGGGGCUCCAACCGCAAGCUAUCGGGUUUGGGGCGGCUCAGGCGGGAGGAGACCCAAGUGCUAAGCGGCUCUGCAGACAGCCAAGGGAGCCAGAGGAGGCGGCCGAACCCCAGGGCUGGCCCGCGGCCCAGACCGCAGCAGGCUAACGGCCUCCUUUCUCUUCUGAUCAGAACCAGCCCGGAGAAGCUGCCCCGGAAGCAGAGGGCUCGGACGCGGCGCUCCAGGACCCCGGUGCCCUGGAGGAGUCUGGGUCUACUCCGGCAGACCCAAAGGUGCGCCCACCUCAGCCAAGCAGUCCACCUCCCCCCGAGGAGCCCCCCAAGCAAGGCCAUACUGGAUUUUUUGGCUUUCUGAGGUAAGAAGGGGCAUCUCUAUUAUUUGCUUGUAGAUGCUCCCCUUCCACCAAAAUGAGAGUCCUGUCCCAACUCAAGAGCCUUCUGUAUUAUGGAAAACAUCCUAGAAAUGGAACUUAGAUCUGAAAUCUCAAAGUAUGCCUGCUAUUCCAAUCCCAUCACUCUUACCCAAAAACCUUCAGUGGCUCCCUAUUGCCAACCAAAGAAGGCAGAGGCUCCUUAGCUUAUUCUCCUUCAUGACAGUGCAGAGCCUGUUCCUUUUUUCAUGCUGAUCCCUUCCUAUGUUCUUUUAAAACUUUAAAAGAGACUUUAUUUUCCCCAUUCCAUCUAAUAACAAUUCCCCCCAGUUUUCUGAUCCCAAUUAUCUCCCUCUGUCCCUAGUCUCCCCCCUCCCAGGGAUGGUAAGUGAUUUGACCUGGCUUAUACAUGUGUGAUCAUGCAAAAACCUUCAUGUGUUCUUCAUCCCCCUCAGACUGGAGACCCACCAUUCUUCUGCUCUCUUGGGUGCUGGCCUCUGCUCCCCUCAGCCCCUGGGUCUAGCAGGUCCUCUCCUGCAUCGCCAUCCUCAGGGCCUGCACUCCUUUAAGGCUUAGUGCUGUGGCCACAGAGCCUCACCGAGCCUUCCUUCUCUUCCUCCCCCCAGGGGAAGCCUGUCUCCCCCUCCCCAGAUUUCUUCUGGUCCCGACCUCAUUCUCCUUUGUUCGCAAACAUCUUCCUCUGGUAUUAGACUACCUGCUCUCCAAAGGCAGGGUUCCCAGGAUUUCCCAUGCUGCUUUGCACAUAGUAGGCUCUUUAAAAUACAGAUAGCCCAAAAGCCUUGAUGCAGUUUUAAGCUGUCUUUGUUGAAUGGAUAAAUGAUUGUUGGAAUUAGAGUCAGGGAACCUGGAUUCGAAUCUCACUCCUGUCCCUUAUUAGCUAUAUAAUGUGGGCAAUUCAUAUUCCCACGCUAGGCCUCCCCUAGGUCUCCUGGGCUGUAACAGGAGGGAAUUGGAUUAGGAGGG
ensembl:lncRNA